UGGAGAGAGUUCAUGAUCAUCUUUUCACAACAGAGAUCAUGGCGCCGCCUCUUCUGAAUAAGUAUAAAAUACCAUCGAUUUCUCCUUAUGAUGGAAGAGGGGAUCCCGACAACCACUUAGAGUUAUACACGGGACAUAUGUUAUUACACAGUUAUUCUGAAAAGAUUAUGUGCCGAGCAUUCCGAAAUCAAGUGAUGCUUGAUUAUCGGACUUUGAGGAUGCAUUCCAAGAGGCCUCUAAAGCUUCCGACUUUGACUCUAGCUAAGGCCAUUGCUGCUGAGUGGGACUAUCAGAUAUGCAAACAGAUGGGAUACGAUGCCUCUGAUGAAGCUUGCUUGCACUGCUCUGGAAAGAGUUCCUCUCACGAGGCCCAAGAUUAUAGAAAGUUUGAUGAGGAAAUUUAACCAAGAUUUAGUCUUCUAUCAUGCUCUGGAGGAUAAUGUUCUUUCAAGUGGUGUUCACGAUAUACUUUUCUUAUUGCUAAAGAGCGAGUCUUGAAGAAAAUAGAGUUUUAGUUUGAUUUUUGGAACUGCACUCGGGCUGUUUGGAGUGAUUAUAGGAAUAAUCAUGUCAGCACAAGCAGCAUGGCUGGCAAAGGGAAUGUAAUACUUAUUCAGUUUA